GACGAACGCUGGCGGCGUGCCUAAUACAUGCAAGUCGAACGAACUCUGGUAUUGAUUGGUGCUUGCAUCAUGAUUUACAUUUGAGUGAGUGGCGAACUGGUGAGUAACACGUGGGAAACCUGCCCAGAAGCGGGGGAUAACACCUGGAAACAGAUGCUAAUACCGCAUAACAACUUGGACCGCAUGGUCCGAGCUUGAAAGAUGGCUUCGGCUAUCACUUUUGGAUGGUCCCGCGGCGUAUUAGCUAGAUGGUGGGGUAAUGGCUCACCAUGGCAAUGAUACGUAGCCGACCUGAGAGGGUAAUCGGCCACAUUGGGACUGAGACACGGCCCAAACUCCUACGGGAGGCAGCAGUAGGGAAUCUUCCACAAUGGACGAAAGUCUGAUGGAGCAACGCCGCGUGAGUGAAGAAGGGUUUCGGCUCGUAAAACUCUGUUGUUAAAGAAGAACAUAUCUGAGAGUAACUGUUCAGGUAUUGACGGUAUUUAACCAGAAAGCCACGGCUAACUACGUGCCAGCAGCCGCGGUAAUACGUAGGUGGCAAGCGUUGUCCGGAUUUAUCGGGCGUAAAGCGAGCGCAGGCGGUUUUUUAAGUCUGAUGUGAAAGCCUUCGGCUCAACCGAAGAAGUGCAUCGGAAACUGGGAAACUUGAGUGCAGAAGAGGACAGUGGAACUCCAUGUGUAGCGGUGAAAUGCGUAGAUAUAUGGAAGAACACCAGUGGCGAAGGCGGCUGUCUGGUCUGUAACUGACGCUGAGGCUCGAAAGUAUGGGUAGCAAACAGGAUUAGAUACCCUGGUAGUCCAUACCGUAAACGAUGAAUGCUAAGUGUUGGAGGGUUUCCGCCCUUCAGUGCUGCAGCUAACGCAUUAAGCAUUCCGCCUGGGGAGUACGGCCGCAAGGCUGAAACUCAAAGGAAUUGACGGGGGCCCGCACAAGCGGUGGAGCAUGUGGUUUAAUUCGAAGCUACGCGAAGAACCUUACCAGGUCUUGACAUACUAUGCAAAUCUAAGAGAUUAGACGUUCCCUUCGGGGACAUGGAUACAGGUGGUGCAUGGUUGUCGUCAGCUCGUGUCGUGAGAUGUUGGGUUAAGUCCCGCAACGAGCGCAACCCUUAUUAUCAGUUGCCAGCAUUAAGUUGGGCACUCUGGUGAGACUGCCGGUGACAAACCGGAGGAAGGUGGGGAUGACGUCAAAUCAUCAUGCCCCUUAUGACCUGGGCUACACACGUGCUACAAUGGAUGGUACAACGAGUUGCGAACUCGCGAGAGUAAGCUAAUCUCUUAAAGCCAUUCUCAGUUCGGAUUGUAGGCUGCAACUCGCCUACAUGAAGUCGGAAUCGCUAGUAAUCGCGGAUCAGCAUGCCGCGGUGAAUACGUUCCCGGGCCUUGUACACACCGCCCGUCACACCAUGAGAGUUUGUAACACCCAAAGUCGGUGGGGUAACCUUUUAGGAACCAGCCGCCUAAGGUGGGACAGAUGAUUAGGGUG
rnacentral:rRNA from 1 species